CAGAUCGCAUAUUCUAUGAACCAAAGGGGGAAGGGCCGGAAAUAUACCAUGCAACAAAUCUUUAGCACUUUGGAUUUAUCCUCAGAGACUACACGUCGGAAUACGAUUCCAUAAUCGUAGAAGAUAUAGUCCGAGCUAUCUGGCGACAGGUAG
rnacentral:autocatalytically_spliced_intron from 1 species